GUGCCAGCCGCCGCGGUACUACCGGCAGCCCGAGUGAUGGCCGAUCUUAUUGGGCCUAAAGCGUCCGUAGCUGGGUCUGAAAGUCCAUCGGGAAAUCCACUCGCUCAACGGGUGGGCGUCCGGUAGAAACUGGCCGGCUUGGAACCGGAAGGCUCAGAGAGUACGUCCGGGGUAGGAGUGAAAUCCCGUAAUCCCGGACGGACUACCGAUGGCGAAAGCACUCUGAGAAGACGGCUUCGACAGUGAGGGACGAAAGCUCGGGUCUCAAACCGGAUUAGAAACCCGAGUAGUCC
rnacentral:rRNA from 1 species